rnacentral:lncRNA from 1 species
GAUCAGCGGGGCUGCCAGACCGAGGACCUGCCGUGGAGCACACUGCUGUGGGCAUGGAGGUGUGAGCUGAGGGCCUGGGCAGCAGCAGCCUGGGAGAUGGCUCCUUCUAGGUCUGGGCCUGGUUCUGGGGUCAGGAGCAGAGAGAAGGACCUGUCUUACGGAGGGUGUGGUCAGCCUUGGGGCCUUUCCUAAACAUUUCUGUGACAUUAUCUUGUCUCCCUUCCCCCUGAAAUGUGCUGUGGGCCAGCUGAGCGUGUGCCCUGGAAAGAGGGAAUGUGGCCUUAAUCUGGUAGGCCAGAUUCUGGGGCCCUACGCUGCAUCCCAGGCAUUCCAGGCAUCCCAGAUGAGGACAAGCUGAGGUUGUAUGGAAGGUCUCCCUUCUAGCUUGGCUCACUCACAACCCACCUACCCAGGGAGCCAGUAGUGGAGAGACAGAAGCAAAGCCCAUUCUCCCUAUGCUCCACCCACCUUCAGAUGAAUGUAGCCAGAGAGGAUGGAGGAGAGAGAGUGAAGCUGAAAAACCUUGGCCCCUAGGCCUUCUCUUUGCCAGAGUUGCUGCCCAGAGACUUCAUUCUGACCUCCAGCGGCCCCAGGAAUGAUUACUUCAUCUUCCAACAAUUCCUCUCCACUCCUUCAUGGCUGGGACAGUUAUGGCUCAUAUGCAAGUAAAGUUGACAAUUCACUCAACAAAUAUUUAUUGAGCACCUUUUAUGUACCAGGCACUGUUCCAGGUGCUUAGGAUAUUCUCAUGCUUCUGAGGGUUUACAGACGGGAUUCCACUCACCUUCACUUCUAGCAGGUUUUCUGAACAUGACCCUUGGCUGCAGUUCCCAUCUUCAGCACAGCUCAAGCACCCCAAACCUGUCCUCCCCCGCCACAGACUGGCAGGUGGGAUUGGCUCCCAGGGUUAUUGGGUGUGAACCCUCUUCGAGGAAAUGUUUACAGUUGUGUGCACAAAAGUACAGCCUUGCAGGCACACACACCCCAGAUGUGCUCCUGGACCACCUCCUUUAUCACCCUGCUGGAAAGGGCAGCCUACACCAAACAGCACUGAGAAUGUCAGUCUAUUCUUUGAUGGACCUAGAAUGUGGUGCAACAGCCAAAGGAAACGGGUUGGCAUCACGGGUCCUUCGGGGCAGAUACAUUCAAGUUCCUUGGACUUCUCACACUCCUUUUCACUUGAUCCCUCACUGGUCUGGGUGACACCUAUGGCAUCUGUCUCCCUCUGUGACCUUUCUUCUGGGGGCCAUUGUUAAGGGGAUGGUACCCCAGUCUGGCAUCCAGACUGCGAAGUCAGCCCGGAGGGUCCCACGGACAAGGUACAUCUCAGACUUGCCAAGGACUUUCUUGCUGCUGGGGCCCUGAGCUAAGCCAGCUCAGCCUUCCAGACUGCUUAUCGACUAUUGAAGUGGGCAAGGGGCUCUCGCCUUGCAAGAAUUUGGGCAGAAUGGAUGUCUUUUGUCCAGAUCUGGAAUCAAGGGUUUUGGAAUCUAGCACAGAGCUCCUGGCCAGCAUGUGAAGCCUGGCUUCCCACUUUGACAUUUGCUGGCACCCUAUUCCCAGCCUAAAGCAGCUUGCUGUGAAUGAAGGGGGCCUAGAUGGAGGCCCAGGGGGAAGUAACCGACCUGGUGACAGCCCUGGUUACUAAACUAGGGCCUUCCCAAUUAGCACAUUACCUCCCUCAUCGAUAACCAAGAAGCUGUAAUCAAAUACUAAUACUGUCACUUUAGAGUUUUUCUGAGGUUGCAAGCUGUGCGCACUUGCUCGCCUUCCUUGGUGAGAGGGAUCCUCUUGGAGCAGGGCUGACUAUAGCAAGACAGAAUUAAUUCCUUUCCCUUUAGGUACCCCCUAACAACCUGGCAGCUCUUAAAACUAAGGAAAAUAUGAAAUAUACAUAUAUAUAUACACAUAUAUCUAUUUAUGCACAUAUUGGGGCCAAUUUGAUUUGCUAGUAUUAGACAAUAAACCAUACAAGGAAAUUUAUGACUCAGUGUCUUUAUUUAGUAUAAAAGUGACCUUAGAAGAAGAGUUAAGAUUAGAUAAACAGAGGGCAUCUCUGUCAGGGGACCAAACAGCCGUACCAGCCCCUUAGCAUCUUUCUAGCCAAUGAGCCCCUCCCCAGGGAGGGGCCAUCCUGACUGACAGGUGAGAGCUUGCUUCCCUCUCAGCAGCAUUCUUUUUAGAUAUAGGUACUGAAGCACCCAGUGAGUUCUGCAUUUGUAUCUUGCAAGUCUGUAUAAACCCAAUGCAGGGAAUAAAUGGUUUGUACAAGUGGUGUGUCUCUGGCACUCUGUGUCCGUGUCUGCCUGUGGCUGGCCUUGGGGUCCCUGAGUGUUUACGUGCUUGGCAGAAAAGGGGAGGGGUAUCUGGGGCCAUCCUUCCCUGACUAAGAGAACUGCGUUCAGAGCAUAUGCACCACCCAUUCCCCCCAUGCCUUGGGCUGUACAUCUCAGCCUCCCCAGGCAGGGAUCCUGGAGUUCUCAGAAGCGUGCCACCUCCCCAUGAACUAGGGAAUGAUGGUUUGUUGUCGACACCACUGUCAUCUUUUUGAUCCGGGUGACCCCAGAUCAAGGUUUGUCCCAAGGUCCUGUACAAUGGAAAUAUCAGAUUCUUCAGGCCCUGGAAGCUUCCACUGAAGGUGGGGGCAGGGAGGUGGUAUCAGAAAGGUUGCCCAAAUUCUUUUCAUCUAGCCUCAGUGUUUUUGGAUCAUUUCUCUUGGCAGGUGCUCAGUGGUUAUCCCUUACUGACACUCAGUGUGAAGGACUUUACCAGAGCUGCUCAAUUUGAAAUGUUUGUGAGGAGUGAGAGUCAAGAAGCCCUGUGAAUUCUAUGGGCCGGGCUGUGGAGAGAGGACGUGAGCCCAGGACAGCGGCAGGCUUCCCUGGGCUUCUGCAGGAUGUCUGGGGAGAGGAGGAGGCAUUAAUGGUUCAAGAAAGAGGAUAUAGGAAGGCAAGCUUCUUGUAAUUCUUGAUUAGCCUCAGUCUGGUUCUAAUGGCUGAUUUUCAAUUCUGGACACCUCUCCUCAUCCCUAAAAGGCUAGUGGAGUAUGUAUUUUGUAUCUAUCAUCUAUCUAUCUAUACUUUUAAAAAUAAGUUAAAUGACUGGAUUUUGGAUUUUGUAACAUCCCUGGGAGAGCUAUAAACCUUGAUGUCCUUUGUGAAGCAGGGAGAAUUGGGACCAGAUACAGGCUCAAGACAGACCUUUAGCGCCAGAGGAGGUAUACUGCAGAAAUUGUCAAUUUCCAGGACCUGGCUCUCUGUCUGCAGUUCCCCCUCUAGGCCAAAGCCAUUGACUUGGAGAGGAGGCGGAAUGUGAGAGCACAGGGCACCGCUGGGCUCCUCUUUCCAAGCAUGAUGCUCACAGGUCCCUGGCCGCUCCACCCUCUGGCACAGAUCAGCCCCCCUAUCAAGCCAGGCUGGGGUUGCAAAAGGGGGCAGUAGUCAGGAACUAUAAAUGAAAAAGCAACUAGCAGAAUGCCCUUUAAGGAGUAGUGCUCUGUAACCGUGUGGUCGUAUAUUUAUUCUUGAAGAGAAGCAUGCUAGGGUCAGGCGGCAGCCAGGCUUCAGACCCUGCUGCUGACAGGGAACGGGGGCCAUGCCACAUGCCCCCUUAUCUCUAAGCCUCCAGUGCAGAACUGGCUCGCCCCAUUGCUGAGAUUGAUGGAGGAAAGGAGAUGCCGUGCUCAACUCCUGGCCCCGCUCCUUGCUAGCUGCAUGAAGAUUUGGACAAGUCACUAAAAAUUCUUGAGUCUCAGUUUCCUCAUCUGUGAAAUGGGGAUAUUAACUGCCAUCUUAUGGAGCUCUCAAGAAAGUCAAAUGAAAAAAUGGAUGAAAAACCCUUUGAAAACUCAAAUUCAUUUACAAAUGAGAGGAGAUGGUGGUGACACUGUGUUGGCCCCUUGGCUGCCUUUAGGGACAUGAUGAGGGAGGAGGGAAAAUGUUUCCCAAGGUCUCCCCUUUGCUGGCUCCGUAGCCUUCGCUGGAGGACGUCAGCAGGGGCCCUGUUGUUCAGCCAUCUGAGGUGUCCUCCCCCUGCCCACUUCUAUUCCUCCAGCCCCAGGGAGUAGCUGCACCAUCCCAGCCCUUCCCCACGUUGAUCAGGACAGGCUUUCCAGGGCCUACGUCCUCCUCCCUGGGGUUGCCCCCCAUGAAGGGGGCCCCUCUCCAGGACGAUGGGCUAUAGACAAACCCCUUGGGGCCCAACUCUGGUGCCCAGUGCUGUAAUCUGAGAGUCAGAUGAAGAGGGCCCAGAUUCAGGAGGGUUCAGUUCUGAGCUUACAGGUGGGCUCCAUUGUUAGGGGAGGUAUUGUUAGUUGCUAUUUUAUACUCCUGUGGGAGCAGUUUAAAACCACAAUUAAGAGGAGAUCAGAAGUCUUUCACAUAACAGCAUUUAACAGUGUAAGAAUAAUAGUAAUAUUAAUAACAGUAAUUAUUAUAACUAUACUAGAAUAAUAAGAACAAUGGCUCGUUAUUUACUAUGAGCCAGGCACCUGGUUCUAUGCAGUUCACAUGCGUUUACUCACUAAUUCUCAUUAUAUCUUUACGUGAUAGGUACUAUUAUCAUCAAAGGAACUGAGGCACAGAAAGGGUGAAUAAAAUACCUGUCUCAUGGAGCUAGGAUGAAGCCCAGGGCGCUCUGAUUUUAUAGCCUGAGCUCUUAACCUACCAGUUUCAAUGGGGAUGAUACCGCCCCCUAGGGGUGAUUUUGGAAAUUUUCAGGGGAGCUUAAGUUGUCUCAGGGCUAAGGGGGCAAAACUCUUACUGGCAUUUGGUGGCCUG